rnacentral:rRNA from 1 species
GCUGCGGUUAAAAAGCUCGUAGUUGGAUUACGAAGUGGUGUUUAAAUGUCAUUUUGGUUUGUUUGUCUUUCGGGGCAUUCAGGUCAACUUGGCUUUUACUCACUGUUGUCAUUGUCUUUGCCCAAGGUAUAUGCCUUGUGUGCAUGGCAUUGACCUUCUAUUUUAUGGUAAUGUUGUAUCUUUCGGGGUACAUUCAUUCCAUAUAGUUUACUUUGAAAAAAUUAGGGUGUUUAAAGCAGGCGAAAAGGCUUCGGAAUAUAUUAGCAUGGGAUAAUAGAAUACGAUCUAGGUCGUAAUUUGUUGGUUUCUACGGCUUAGGUAAUGAUUGACAGGGAUAGUUGGGGUCGCUCGUAUUGAGUUGUCAGAGGUGAAAUUCUAGGAUUAACUCAAGACGAACUAAUGCGAAAGCAUUCGGCAAGGAUGUUUUCAUUAAUCAAGAACGAAAGUUGGGGGAUCGAAGAUGAUCAGAUACCGUCGUAGUCUCAACUGUAAACUAUGUCGACCGAGGAUCCGGUAGCGUUACAUGGAUGACCUUCCGGGCACUCUGUGAGAAAUCAUAAGUAUUUGGAUUUCGGGGGGAGUAUGGUCGCAAGGCUGAAACUUAAAGGGAUUGACGGAAGGGCACCACCAGGAGUGGAAUCUGCGGCUUAAUUUGACCCAACACGGGAAAACUUACCAGGUCCGGACACAGUGAGGAUUGACAGAUUGAGAGCUCUUUCUUGAUUUUGUGGGUGGUGGUGCAUGGCCGUUUUUAGUUGGUGGAGUGAUUUGUCUGGUUAAUUCCGUUAACGAACGAGACCUUAACCUAUUAAAUAGCUGCGCGAACCCAGGUUCUUUAACCAUUCUCUCCUUCGGGGGGGCGUGGUAUCAUUAUUUUGCUUUUCACUUUCGGGUGGGAGGUAGGGUAGUGAUAGGGCCUGAGAUGAGUUGGUGAUUUGGCUUCUUAGAGGGACUACUUGCAUCCUUAGCAAGGGGAGGUUUGAGGCAAAAACAGGUCUGUGAUGCCCUUCGAUGUUCUGGGCUGCACGCGCGUUACACUGGCGCAUGCAAAGAGUUUAAAAUUCCUGUCCCGAUGGGGUUGGGAAAUCUUUUUAAAGUGCGUCGUGAUGGGGAUAGAGCAUUGAAAUUAUUGCUCUUGAACGAGGAAUUCCUAGUAAUUGCAGGUCAUCAACCUGCAAUGAUUACGUCCCUGCCCUUUGUACACACCGCCCGUCGCUCCUACCGAUGGUUGAACCGAUGAGGACUCGGGAUGAUCUUAUUAGAUCGGUCGGUCGAAAGAUCGAUAGACUAUUAGGUCAGAACUUGUUCAAAUCUUUUUAA